rnacentral:rRNA from 1 species
GUAGUCCUAGCUAUAAACGAUGCAUACUAGGUGUAGGAGGGCUCAACCCUUUCUGUACCGGAGCUAACGCGUUAAGUAUGCCGCCUGGGGAGUACGCUCGCAAGGGUGAAACUCAAAAGAAUUGACGGGGGCCCGCACAAGCAGUGGAGCAUGUGGUUUAAUUCGAUGCAACGCGAAGAACCUUACCUGGGCUCGAAAUGUAGAGCGCGACAUCAGAGAUGAUGUUUCCCGAAAGGGGUUCUAUAUAGGUGCUGCAUGGCUGUCGUCAGCUCGUGCCGUGAGGUGUUUGGUUAAGUCCAGCAACGAGCGCAACCCUUAUCGUUAGUUGCCAGCGCGUAAUGGCGGGAACUCUAGCGAGACUGCCUAGGUUAACUAGGA